AUUGAACGCUGGCGGCGUGCCUAAUACAUGCAAGUCGAACGGAGUGGCGCACGGGUGAGUAAUGUAUAGCUAAUCUUCCCUACUCUAGAGGACAACAGUUUGGAACGGCUGCCUAUACUCUAUAGUGUAGGAUGAGGCUAUAUUGUAUCAGCUAGUUGGUGAGGUAUUGGCUCACCAAGGCUAUGACGCAUAACUGGUCUGAGAGGAUGAUCAGUCACACGGGAAGGGAGACACGGUUGGGAAACCUGCGAGAGGUAGCAGAAGGGAGAAGUAGGCAAGGGGGGAAACCCUGAAGGGGCAACGGGGCGUAGAGGAUGACACUUGUCGGGGCGUAAACUCAUGUUAUUAGGGAAGCGUUACCUGACGAAUAAGCACCGGCUAACUCCGUGCCAGCCGCCGCGGUAAUAC
rnacentral:rRNA from 1 species